rnacentral:rRNA from 1 species
CAUUCACGGAGAGUUUGAUCCUGGCUCAGGACGAACGCUGGCGGCGUGCUUAACACAUGCAAGUCGAACGAUGAACCACUUCGGUGGGGAUUAGUGGCGAACGGGUGAGUAACACGUGGGCAAUCUGCCCUGCACUCUGGGACAAGCCCUGGAAACGGGGUCUAAUACCGGAUAUGACCAUCUUGGGCAUCCUUGAUGGUGUAAAGCUCCGGCGGU